UUAAUCCUAAUGGUUCAGUGCUUUGAUAUGUCUUCUCAUUUGUUUCAGAGCCAUUUGCAGCACAGUGUAACUUUUCCCAGUACUGCGCUAAUGAAUCAUCAUACUACUGGAUGCUUGUGGAGGUGAAUGGCUCUAAUAUGACAGAGGGAGAGAUUCAGAUUUGGUUUUUAGAUAUUUUUAAUAAAAGCACCUGUUCUGCUGGAGUUUCAACAACAGGAAUCAAUACAACAUCAUGCCAAACUC